rnacentral:rRNA from 1 species
UACGUAGGGCGCGAGCGUUGUCCGGAAUCAUUGGGCGUAGAGCGCACGUAGGCGGCCUAUCAAGUCGGGUGUGAAAGCCCCGGGCUCAACCCGGGAAGUGCAUUCGAAACUGACAGGCUUGAAUAUGGAAGAGGAUCGCGGAAUUCCCGGUGUAGAGGUGAAAUUCGUAGAUAUCGGGAGGAACACCAGUGGCGAAGGCGGCGAUCUGGGCCAAUAUUGACGCUGAGGUGCGAAAGCGUGGGGAGCAAACAGG